rnacentral:lncRNA from 1 species
CGGUAUUAGGGUUUCUUAUCAAUCGCUAGGAUUUUCUAACUGAACGUCGCUGUUCUUAAUGUAAUAUUAGGGUUUGGACACUGAUAUAAUUUCUCUGGUCAACCCUUGACCCUUAACCACACACUGUACAUAUAUACAACUAUAUACAUAUAGCAUAUACACUUAUACAAUUAAUCCUGAAUAAUUCACCACAAAAAUUUUAAAUCCAUAAAAUUUAUUCCCAAAAAUGUCAAAUCCAUUCACUUAUUUUCUGUCUAGGUUUAUUAUUCAACCUUUAAUCCAUCAUUUAAGAUUUAAA